rnacentral:tRNA from 2 species
UCCGAUAUAGUGUAGGGGCUAUCACAUCACGCUCUCAUAAUGAGAACCGUGGAGACCGGGGUUCGAUUCCCCGUAUCGGAG